rnacentral:tRNA from 1 species
GCCGGCGUAGCACAGCGGUAGUGCAGUCGAUUUGUAAUCGAAAGGUCGGGAGUUCAAUCCUCUCCGCCGGCACCA